GCUUCUAUAGCUCAAAGGUAGAGCAGGUUACUGUUAAUAACCCUAUAUAUGUUCGAUUCAUAUUAGAGGCG